CUCCCGAGUAGCUGGGAUUACAGGCGCGCACCACUACUGCCUGGCUAAUUUUCGUAUUUUUAGUAGAGAUGGGGUUUCACCAUGUUGGCCAGGCUGGUCUUGAACUCUUGACUUCAAGUGAUCCACCCACCUUAGCCUCCCAAAGUGCUAGGAUUACAGGCGUGAGCCACUGCGCCCAGCCCAUGACUAAUUUAAAAUUAAAUAAGAAACAAUACAAGUUGCCAUAUGCUAAGAACCACUUGGAAUAAAGACAAUGAGUAAUGUUGGGCCUCAUUUAUAAAUCUUCAGCUCCAGAUAGUUCUCUAACAAAAAUUGUGGACAAAAUCAAGAAUGAAAAAUCAUAGAACUGCUGGGUAACUUUUUAGUGUUUGGACACUGUGCUAUCUACUCGAUAAACUGAUUCACUUCCUUAAGAAGUCCCGAGGGAGGCUGGUCCAAGUCCAGUGGUGUUUACAACUAAUUGAUCACAACCAGUUACAGAUUUCUUUGUUCCUUCUCCACUCCCAUUGUUUCAUUUGGCUAGCCUAAAAUUAAGCUAAAAUUAAAUAAAUAAAUAAAUAAAU
rnacentral:lncRNA from 1 species